AUGGGACUCGGCAGAAGCACUUGGGGUAUACUUCACAGAGUAACUAUACCCGUAUUUGUUUCUGCUGAGCCCCU
rfam:Caenorhabditis remanei strain PB4641 contig43.8, whole genome shotgun sequence.